CCGCGUUUUAUCCCCCAUCCGCAUUUUCUCAUCCGUAUUUUCUCAUCCGCAUCCGUAUCCGCCAUCCGCAUCCGUAUCCGCCCUUUAUCCCUACCCGUUUUUAUGAGCGACUGUUCGUCGUUAGUUGCAAACGACGGUAAUAUAAACAAUUAAACAUAGUCAAGGUCGAAAGCGAUUAACUGUUAGAUUUCCUUUUAUACUAUUUUAUAACGAAAUAAUAGCGUUAUUUCUUACAAAUUUAGCUUUAUUGUAGAUUUAUUGAAAGUAUAAAAAACAUGGAAACGAUGAAGAAUGACUGUAGAUUGAAAAUAAGUGAAAUUAUCGACGUAGAAUGCUA